rnacentral:rRNA from 1 species
CCUACGGGAGGCUGCAGUGGGGAAUAUUGGACAAUGGGGGCAACCCUGAUCCAGCCAUGCCGCGUGUGUGAAGAAGGCCCUCGGGUCGUAAAGCACUUUCAGUGAGGAAGAACGCCUGGUGGUUAAUACCCAUCAGGAAAGACAUCACUCACAGAAGAAGCACCGGCUAACUCCGUGCCAGCAGCCGCGGUAAUACGGAGGGUGCGAGCGUUAAUCGGAAUUACUGGGCGUAAAGCGCGCGUAGGUGGCUUGAUAAGCCGGUUGUGAAAGCCCCGGGCUCAACCUGGGAACGGCAUCCGGAACUGUCAAGCUAGAGUGCAGGAGAGGAAGGUAGAAUUCCCGGUGUAGCGGUGAAAUGCGUAGAGAUCGGGAGGAAUACCAGUGGCGAAGGCGGCCUUCUGGACUGACACUGACACUGAGGUGCGAAAGCGUGGGUAGCAAACAGGAUUAGAUACCCCAGUAGUC